UCCCUGGUGGUCCUGUGGUUAAGACUCUGCUCUGCCAAUGCAGGGGGCAUGGGUUCGAUCCCUGAUUGGGGAA
rnacentral:tRNA from 1 species